GAUGAACGCUGGCGGCGUGCCUAAUACAUGCAAGUCGAGCGAACAGAUGAGGAGCUUGCUCCUCUGACGUUAGCGGCGGACGGGUGAGUAACACGUGGAUAACCUACCUAUAAGACUGGGAUAACUUCGGGAAACCGGAGCUAAUACCGGAUAAUAUAUUGAACCACAUGGUUCAAUAGUGAAAGACGGUUUUGCUGUCACUUAUAGAUGGAUCCGCGCCGCAUUAGCUAGUUGGUAAGGUAACGGCUUACCAAGGCAACGAUGCGUAGCCGACCUGAGAGGGUGAUCGGCCACACUGGAACUGAGACACGGUCCAGACUCCUACGGGAGGCAGCAGUAGGGAAUCUUCCGCAAUGGGCGAAAGCCUGACGGAGCAACGCCGCGUGAGUGAUGAAGGUCUUCGGAUCGUAAAACUCUGUUAUUAGGGAAGAUCAAAUGUGUAAGUAACUAUGCACGUCUUGACGGUACCUAAUCAGAAAGCCACGGCUAACUACGUG
rnacentral:rRNA from 1 species